ensembl:lncRNA uncharacterized LOC115157110
CAAAGUAUUAAUAAUUGACAACUUUGGGAAAAAGCGGUGGUGUUACAGUACUUGCGGAGAAAUCAUUACCAGGGACAGCGCCUAUUUAGCUAGUGGAGUGACGUGCUAGGACGAUUUUUUGGUAGCUGUCUAGUUCCCAUUUCUGCCAGAGCUUUUUGUUUUUCUUCAUCCGCCACUGAAACAAAAUGUCUCAACGGUUCAUAACUGAUUUUAUAAGGGUAAUUGAUUGCCUGGUUAUUUGAUUAAUUAUUUAAUGUCAUAUGAAUUCUAAUGUAGCGAAAGGCCAUUCCAUUCCAACCAUUAUGACUUAGUUACUUCAGAACAUUGGUAGGUCCGCGAUAGCAACGGAAGUCGACAACUCAGACAACUCAAAAUGAGCCGCUAUGACCAGUAACCUGUAAACGGAUCCUACUCUCCUAGAUCGACAGACAAAUUUACAAUUUGCAAAUUCAAGUCCGCCACACACGGCCAUGUCUAAACACGUCAAGCCUCUCAUCCCAAACGGCCUGAUAACCAUUCUGUCAGGCUUCAGUCGAGCCUACCUAAGGAAGAGGCCAACUGACCUAGGGCUAUUUGCCAUGUACUACUGUAUGGAACUGCGGAAAUACAGAGAUGAAAUAGCAACCUAUUCACCAAACAAGCUGGUGAAAGAUUUUCAUAAACAUAGAGCCGAGAGACUCUGUGACAAUGCCUAUGAAGAGGAACUGUUGAAGUAUGGAUACAAAGUGACCUCUAAGGAGGAUGUGACGUUUAAUGCCCUGGAGAUCACCUCUCAGGACCUGCAAAUACUAGGCAGUAGUGAGAGACAGAUCAACAGACGGUACUCAACCACCACUAGCCCAUGUGGAGAACAAGUGAACAAUAUUACAGCUCCAUCCGCCAUGGACCUGCAGGUGAACCAAACCCUGGGGUCUGCAGCUAUGGAGCUAGGGGCACUGGUUGGCAACAUUGUACCCACAACAUCAUCAAGCCCUUUUCAACCAACCAACAAUAACGCCAACACCCAACACGUGGCACAUGCAUCCUCCCAGGCAGUAGCAGGUCUGGCAUCCACUGAGAACAAGACUGGUGAAGUUGCUUCACCAGUCCAACCUGGCUCAGCAGAGAUAUUGGCCAGCAGCAGCUGCGAGGCCAGUAUUUCUGGACAGGCCUGUGUUCCCCAGCAUUACACACCCACCAGCCAGGAGGGGGGGUAUGCCUGUGCCGUCAUGCCCACAGAGAUACCCUGCUACCCCAGAUUUCCCCAGAAUUACCCGACAUACCCUCCACCACCACCCUACCUCCCAGGCUUUCAUCCUUAUUAUUUGGACCUCAUGUCUGGCCAAUAUGUCCAGCCGUCCUGCAGAUGCCAGCGAUAUGGCAGAGUGGUAUAUCGUCCCCCUGGUCAGCCAGUGCUGCCCCAGUGCCACCAUGCCGCUCCACUGCCAGUGCCGCAGUGCACUCACCAGCACCUCAGCCCUUCUGCAAGCUGCAUUCAAGUGGCUCCAACCAUGGGGCCCUAUGGAUUGCAGAGCACUUUCUCACGGUGCAUCCCUGUGCCUGUCCUCGCCAACCACUUUGGCUCUCUUUACUACAGGCCCAAGCAGAGACCCAGGAUGGCCACAGGUGUGCCUGGCUGCAGGAGCGAGUGCCUACCCACAUCCAGACGGCUCAACUGCACUUCCUGCAACGUGAGUGACAGCUCUAGCUAUGGGCCAGAGCCCGCCGCCCAGGCCUCCUAUCAUGGAGGACAUCGAGGACAGUGUGGGGGUGAUGCCAUCCAUGGACCAGUCCCUGCCGGUGUACUAAGGUCCCUGUAUGCCCCUGUGCCGUGCCCCAUUGGACUGCAGAGAAGGGAUGCCCCGGCUCAGCGACCAUGCAGCGCCCCGACUAGGAGGGUUGUUCCAUUGACCACGCAGAACCAGAAUAGCCCGUUCCCAUCCUCAUAAGGGACAGGUUUGGAACAAGUUAUUCUGUGAAUGGAUAGCUGCAAAUGAUUUGAUUGAAUUUAAUCUUAUUAAGUCUUCAGUUUGAUACAAUUUUGCCUUGAAGCUUUUGUUAAUUGGUAGUAUAAUUAAACUAGUGGAAAGUUUUCGUCAUGGAUAUAUGAAUUUGUAGACACAGAAUAUUGUUAAUCAGAAUAAAGAUUUCUCAGGUGGCUAAAUUGCUGUUAUUUUUCUCUUUACAGAAUGCCCAGACAGACUGAACGCAAAGUCCUACAACUUUAUCAUCGAUUUUUAUGAUCAAUAAAGUAUUUUGCAGAUUCGUUUUUAAUUAUCAUUAUUGUAAGAUUCAAAAGGCACUCGCACAUCUGAGCAAUCUUGUUGCAGGUGCAUGGCAACAGUUGAAACAGGAUGAAGGAAAAAAGGAAACCGCACACUGCUCUUGAUAGUAUCACUGAUAUUUAAUAUGCCGAUACGUAAGCUUAUUAAAUAUCAGUG